rnacentral:tRNA from 1 species
ACCCAGUUAGCUCAGUGGUAUAGAGCGCGGUCACUUAAACUGAAGUCACGAGUUCGAAUCUUGUACGGGGUA